AAUAAAUUUUCUUGAAUGGAAAAAUUAUAACAGCUCAGGUACAGACAACUCUAAUUCUUUACUCCAGCAAGGUCAUAGAUACUACUUUCUAAAUCCAGAUCUAGAUCUACACUCAGUUCAGUUAAUUGAGUUAACAUUUUAAAAAAAAAUUAUAAAGUAGCCAUAACAGCACUACAUUACAAUGGCUGGAGAUUUUGUUCCUGAGUCAGAACUUAACCUGAAAGGCUGGCAAAGACACUUUAACUCGUACACAUUAAGGGGCAGAUUUAAUUGGGUAGUUGCAACAUAUGGAACAUUAUUUGGUAGCUACUUUCUCUACAAACUAUUAAAGAGAAAACCCAAAGCUGUGGAAAUCAAGCAUUGACAAUGAAGUCUGUGUCUUCUGACAGUGUGGAACAGUUGCCUACAAUGUACAUUUGUCUAGCUUUUACUAUACAUCCUGCUUCAUAGUGUUGUUGAUUUUUUUUAAAACAAAUUUAUAUGUAUAUUCAUAUUUUACAGCAGUUGAUUUAUUAUAACAAUUUAUUUUUAUUUUUUUGCUGUAGUUUCUUUGUUAAAUUAUGUACUAUAGGUAUUGUCAGAUGUAUAAAAAAAGAAAUUAAUGUUAUUCCAAAUACCAAAAAAAACUCUACAGAUCUUGUGUAAAAGACUCAUCAAAUAAAGUACCGGUACUGUAA